GGCCGCUAGCGACCCGCCCGACCGCCACUGUACGCCGCAUUUUCCCUCCUGCGGUCGGGGAGCCGUCGCUGCGGUCCCUCGACCUCAGGCAGGAGGGAACCGAGCAGAAAGCGGCAUGUUGGUCUUCGAGUUGCGGGCGGCGCCGCGGGAGAGCAAGAGCCGGGCGGACCCCUCAGACCUCACGGCCGCAGCUGGAUCGGGGGGAACGAAGCAGCUGCUGUAUCCUGCACUGCUCUGCCUUGAUAACAAGAAGCUGUUAGUAUGACUGCACUAUGGUGAAAAUACAAAAUACAGGAAUUACAGAAAUAAAUGGAGACAGAUAGGGCAUUCACGGGUGCUGCUCUGAGAUAGCUCUUCUGGUCUGAUUGGUUCAACUGGUGUACGAAGAAUACAGGAACAGUCCUUGAGAACAGAAACAAGUGAAUG